rnacentral:rRNA from 1 species
GACGAACGCUGGCGGCGUGCCUAAUACAUGCAAGUUGAGCGCUGAAGGUUGGUACUUGUACCAACUGGAUGAGCAGCGGACGGGUGAGUAACGCGUGGGGAAUCUGCCUUUGAGCGGGGGACAACAUUUGGAAACGAAUGCUAAUACCGCAUAAAAACUUUAAACACAAGUUUUAAGUGUGAAAGAUGCAAUUGCAUCACUCAAAGAUGAUCCCGCGUUGUAUUAGCUAGUUGGUGAGGUAAAGGCUCACCAAGGCGAUGAUACAUAGCCGACCUGAGAGGGUGAUCGGCCACAUUGGGACUGAGACACGGCCCAAACUCCUACGGGAGGCAGCAGUAGGGAAUCUUCGGCAAUGGACGAAAGUCUGACCGAGCAACGCCGCGUGAGGGAAGAAGGUUUUCGGAUCGUAAAACUCUGUUGGUAGAGAAGAAAGUUGGUGAGAGUGGAAAGCUCAUCAAGUGACGGUAACUACCCAGAAAGGGACGGCUAACUACGUG